rnacentral:ncRNA from 1 species
ACAAAUUCAUUGACGAGAAAGAGUAAGCUGAACCCCUUGUUCCCCAGAGAGUUGGCCCCGUGCUGAAAGCCAACGUUCAAGACUCAGCCCAAAAUCCUCUCCGAGAAGGAAAGCCGAAGCUGCUGAAGUAAGCUGACCCGGGAUCCCGCCGUUACAAGGGACGCGUAUGAUGGUACGCAGUAAGUGGGCUGAAGAAUAACCGGGCAACCGGUCCUUCAGAACAAGGGUGGUUAAGCGAGAAAUCAAUCUCGUCCCUUUG